GCACAAAAGAUUCACUGGGAUGGAAGACGGAUGAAAGGAUUUCCAGGUCUGUCGGGCGAAGCAGCAACCAGUCCUGGACAUUCUUUCCUUGUGGAUUCUAGCCUCUACCCAAGCAUAAAAGAUACGGAUUUUGCAACGAAGCCAAGUUUAUGAGACCCGUCCUUCAGGAAACAAAACACGGGGUGACGUGCAACGAUGGAAUAAAGGGAAAACAGCAAAUCCCCUAGAUGGAAAAAGGCAACAAACAAAACAUAAUUGACGACCCAGCCACAUCACUGUAUCAUACCUGUGGUGUGUGGAUGAUCUAUGCGCGCGCAAGCUCUCAUGGAUACGCGCUUCCUAACACCAUGCAACCACUCUAACCGCCUGUCAAGAACGAAUAAAACGAAUCCUGUUAUAACGCUGAACUCUAACGGCCACGGGUGGAAAACACAAACAAAAUCCUAAAAAUCGGUCAGUCGCUCGUGGAAUUGGAUAUUGGGACCCUCAGUCGGUAUUACGACAAUCUCCCCAAGCAUCGCUAAGCUCGUUUACACGUCGGUCACGAGUCCGAGACCCACUCCAGCGCUCACACCUCCUCUCUAGUUUACCAAGGAAGCAGCGCGCCCGGGACAAAGUGAGCUGCCUGCCUUUGGCAAUGUUUGGCAGGGAGACGCGUGCGGGUGAAGGUUCUGAUCAAAACCGCCCCCUCGAAAUCUUCCCUUUCCCAACGUUCGGUAUUCGCUCGUCCCGAGACACUUAAUUUGGAGGCUGCACUGAAGGCGGUCGCUGCGUGUCCUCCUGCUGCUGCUGCUCCUGAGCCGCAAGCACGUCCUCGGCCCGGAGCCUUGUCCGCUGCGCACCACUUUGCAGCUCCUGUCCGGUUUGCUGUGCCCGGGCGUCUGCAUCAACCUGAAAGUGGUAAACACGGUUGCGCACAGAAAAUUAGAUGCUAUCUGUGGAGGCAUAGUGCGGGGAUGAUUGUGAUAGGAUUGCGCCUUGCAAAACGGGUGGCCGACGCGGAAAACAUUGAAGCGCUCACCAAGUCGGCAGGCUCUUCCAAGCCUUUCAUAAUCGCUAGAGCUCCUACGAAGGUCGCGCCGACUGUGGCACCGACUGCAAAAAGGAAAUUAACAGCCAGUCAGCAAGGCUACUACCACAACGUCUCCCUGUCAGAGCCUUAGGUUGCGAUAUACUGGACUAUCAUACCUAACGCAGCAGCGCUACCCACGCUGACCCAAAUAGUUGAGGCAUCCUCAACGCCGGUCGGCAUUUUCUUGAAAUAUCCAAGAGCUUCAGGCUUUCACAUUACCUAUAUCCGCAUAAAUCAUACUGUGCACAAAGUCUGGAAAGAUGGAUUUGCUGCUUUUGAUGUGCGUCGCUUUUUCGCAUAUGACCCACGGACGCUCAGCAUGGGCUAACGGAGAAAACUGUGUCACACCCAUACGCACGAUCUCCAUCCUUCAAAAUCUUCCUGCAUUCCUACAUCAUCCAAUUAAAAGAUCGAUACUCACCGUAACAUUAGCAGCUGAAACUGUAUGCUUCUCUUAGCUGGAGGGGAUCACCAAGGCGCGUAAUCCACCGUAAAUUUGACAGAUUGACAUUUCCAUGCUGGCUCAAACGCUCAAACACAACCAAACCUCAAUAUUUAUAAAUAAUGCAGGGCAUACAAAAUCACCAGCAGCCUCGGUGUAGACGGCUUAACAUCGGUGCAUACGGCUUAACCCAGCACUCGUUAGUCUUCCAAGAUACGUUCGCGCAAUUAAUGUCCUGCCGUACCAUACCAUAUGCAACCUCCACUCGUCCCGGACAGACACCACCAGACGCACACCCCUCAACGCACGCCGUGGGUGGAAUGGGACGCGGGCCUAAGCCUGAAUCCAACGGCUCAACCUUCCCUUCCGCCUUCUUGUUGUUGUUAUUACAGCGGGCUACCAAGUUUCUAUACCGUAAUGCAAAGAAACCGAGCAGGGCACAUCACCUGUCGUUCAUUCCACUGGGUUCUGGAUCCUAUUUCGUCCUACCGGACGUACGGGACCGACUCCUGAAACAUCAAUUAUCGAAUGAUUGGGUGCGUGCGACGGUGCCGAUGCCGGACACUGUGUGGCAAGAAGAAAAGAGGACGGA
rnacentral:lncRNA from 1 species